UGGGAUAUAGCUUAGCAGGACAGCACCUGCCUGGCAAGCACAAGGUCCUGAGUUUGAUUCCUAGUACCCCCU
rnacentral:tRNA from 1 species